rfam:Nicotiana sylvestris Nsyl_contig1639, whole genome shotgun sequence.
GGAUGCGAUCAUACCAGUACUAACGCACUGGAUCCCAUCAGAACUCCAUAGUUAAGCGUGCCUGGGAGAGAGUAGUACUAGGAUGGGUGACCCCCUAGUAAGUCCUCGUGUUGCAUCCC